CCGACCGCUGGAGGGAAGGAAUGGGGCAGGCGGAAAACUUGGAAAGAAAAGAUCUGUGAUCCUUUCCACUGAGAACGUACUUUCUUCUAAGGAACCGCAGUUGUGUGGAUGCGGGUAGAUUUUUUACACUGGGACAAGUUUCUCCAGCAUUUUUACCUCCAUGUUCUGAGUCAGUCAGGCACAUCAGUCCUUUCAGCAGAACCUGCCUUAGGCACUUAACCUUUUGUGGCUCAGUUGUGCCAAGACAAAAAAAG